rnacentral:rRNA from 1 species
AAACAGGAUUAGAUACCCUGGUAGUCCACGCCGUAAACGAUGUCGACUUGGAGGUUGUGCCCUUGAGGCGUGGCUUCCGGAGCUAACGCGUUAAGUCGACCGCCUGGGGAGUACGGCCGCAAGGUUAAAACUCAAAUGAAUUGACGGGGGCCCGCACAAGCGGUGGAGCAUGUGGUUUAAUUCGAUGCAACGCGAAGAACCUUACCUGGUCUUGACAUCCACAGAACUUUCCAGAGAUGGAUUGGUGCCUUCGGGAACUGUGAGACAGGUGCUGCAUGGCUGUCGUCAGCUCGUGUUGUGAAAUGUUGGGUUAAGUCCCGCAACGAGCGCAACCCUUAUCCUUUGUUGCCAGCGGUCCGGCCGGGAACUCAAAGGAGACUGCCAGUGAUAAACUGGAGGAAGGUGGGGAUGACGUCAAGUCAUCAUGGCCCUUACGACCAGGGCUACACACGUGCUACAAUGGCGCAUACAAAGAGAAGCGACCUCGCGAGAGCAAGCGGACCUCAUAAAGUGCGUCGUAGUCCGGAUUGGAGUCUGCAACUCGACUCCAUGAAGUCGGAAUCGCUAGUAAUCGUGGAUCAGAAUGCCACGGUGAAUACGUUCCCGGGCCUUGUACACACCGCCCGUCACACCAUGGGAGUGGGUUGCAAAAGAAGUAGGUAGCUUAACCUUCGGGAGGGCGCUUACCACUUUGUGAUUCAUGACUGGGGUGAAGUCGUAACAAGGUAACCGUAGGGGAACCUGCGGUUGGAUCACCUCCUUACCUUAAAGAAGC